rnacentral:rRNA from 1 species
UACAGGGGGUGCAAACGUUGCUCGGAAUCAUUGGGCGUAAAGCGCACGUAGGCGGUUUGUUAUGUCGGAUGUGAAAGCCCUUGGCUCAACUGAGGAAGUGCAUCCGAAACUGGCAAGCUAGAGUACUAAAGAGGGUCGCGGAAUUCCCGGUGUAGAGGUGAAAUUCGUAGAUAUCGGGAGGAACACCGGUGGCGAAGGCGGCGACCUGGGUAGAUACUGACACUGAGGCACGAAAGCGUGGGGAGCAAACAGG